rnacentral:rRNA from 1 species
UACGUAGGUGGCAAGCGUUGUCCGGAUUUACUGGGCGUAAAGGGCGCGUAGGCGGCCUUCUAAGUCGAACGUGAAAUCCCCGGGCUCAACCCGGGAACUGCGUCCGAUACUGGGAGGCUUGAAUCCGGGAGAGGGAUGUGGAAUUCCAGGUGUAGCGGUGAAAUGCGUAGAUAUCGUAAGGAAGACCAGUGGCGGAAGGCGGGUCUCUGGACAGU